rnacentral:misc_RNA from 1 species
UAAUUAAUCGAUCAAUUGCUCGAUAGCAGCGAGCGGCCCGGCCGCUUCCGUGCGCUGGCGCGGGCUGCUCUCGUGUUGGCUGACUUUCGAGUUUCGUCUCGUUGGAGACAUAGACAUACUUGCUAUGUGCCUGGCGCCGCUCCGCCCGUGCGCGGUCUACGCCGCGCACGGCUCCAGUUCCGGCCACCCGGAGAUCGAUCAGAUGUUGAUGUCCAUUGAAUGCCAACGCUGGGCACGCGGGUCGGUCACUCGCAGGGCUGGAUGUUUCCGCGCCGGUGUCGCAGCUGCCCGACACCGCUGUGCUGGAGCUCCGUGCAAGCGGCCGAUGUCCAGCUGUGGACGUCUACCGGCUGAUAAGGAAAAGCUGUAGUUUCGGCCGGUUUUCAACCGAAACGAAACGGUUUUCAACCCAUAUGCCGCUUCGCUUCUAUCACAUAGCUAUGGAGCUCCAGUGACCGACCGGGGGCCCCUGCCCGCGCCUCGCUACGCCCAUGAGCUCUUUAUGGUCUCCCCAUGUUAUAUCUAAAAUUCAGCUUUCUCGGUCAAUGUGUCAUUGAAUUCCGCCGAGCGUUGAAUGAACAGCCUCCACUAGACGCAGCGUGUGUCGCAACCCUCGGGCAGACGGACAGCUCAAAGACCGUCUACCGUGUAAAAUAAAUAAACAAAUAAAAAAUCCCGAAUGCAUUAAGUAUAAAAAACUGAAAAGAAAAAAAACAAGCUAG